UGGGGCGUCGUUCAACGGCAGGACACAGGCCUUUGACGCCUGGUAUGGUGGUUCGAAUCCACCCGCCCCAGCCA
rnacentral:tRNA from 1 species